rnacentral:lncRNA from 1 species
GCUGGGGCUGCUCGGCCCCAAAUCGGGGGGGGACGCUCCAAGAAAGUGCGGUGCAGCCAAGUCCGGGUGACGUCGCCGGGGGUCCCCGUCCCCCCCCGGUUCACAGUCAGUUAGGGGACACCCUCCCCAAAACCCCUCCUUUAUGUCUUUUUUUUUGGGGGGUGGGGGGUGUUCCCAUAGUGCCAUUUUGGGGACAUCACCCCCCCGUUUUGGGGUGCGUCACUUUGCCACUGUUUUUUUGUUUGUUUUUUGCCAUUUUGCCCCAUUUUUCUGCCCAACCCCCCUGGCACUGGGGGGGAGGGGGGGCUGAAAAAGGAUGGAGGGGAUGGGGGAGCGGGGGCGCCGGGGGGGCCCUGGGGA